rfam:Gossypium hirsutum cultivar TM-1 chromosome 23, whole genome shotgun sequence
AGCCCAUAGUGAGAGCACCUUCUCAAUAGAUCCUUGUAUCUCUCCCAUGCAUCGUAGAGUGUUUCUAAAUCCAUCCGUACAAAAGAAGAAAUAUCAUUCCGUAAUUU